UAAGUAGAACAAAUAAUCGCGGCCGGCGGCGUAAGCUGCCGGGUGAGGAAAGUCCGGGCUUCACAGGGCAGGAUGCCGGAUAACGUCCGGUGGAGGUGACUCCAAGGCUAGUGCAACAGAAAUAUACCGCCAGAUUUUCUUGAGGAAAGCUGGUAAGGGUGGAAAGGCAGCUUAAGAGACUACCGUCCGUCUGGUAACAGGCGGAGCCAUGUAAACCCCAUCCGAAGCAAGACCAAAACGAAAACGAUAGGCUUGCCCGGCCUGUUUUCAGGUGGGUCGCUUGAAGCGUCUGGUAACAGACGUUCUAGAUAGAUGAUUAUUCACGACAUAACCCGGCUUACGCUUCUGCUUACAUU
rnacentral:RNase_P_RNA from 1 species